rnacentral:tRNA from 1 species
GCCGUUGUAGCUCAGUUGGNNGUAGAGCAACUCCAUGGUAAGGAGUAGGUCCGCGGUUCAAAUCCGCGCAACGGCUCCG